UACGUAGGGUGCGAGCGUUGUCCGGAAUUAUUGGGCGUAAAGAGCUCGUAGGCGGCUUGUCGCGUCGGAUGUGAAAGCCCGGGGCUUAACUCCGGGUCUGCAUUCGAUACGGGCAGGCUAGAGUUCGGUAGGGGAGAUCGGAAUUCCUGGUGUAGCGGUGAAAUGCGCAGAUAUCAGGAGGAACACCGGUGGCGAAGGCGGUUCUCUGGGCAUGAUCUGACGCUGAGGAGCGAAAG
rnacentral:rRNA from 1 species